rnacentral:rRNA from 1 species
UACGAAGGUCCCAAGCGUUAUCCGGAUUUAUUGGGUUUAAAGGGUGCGUAGGCGGGCUAUUAAGUCAGUGGUGAAAUCCUGCAGCCUAACUGUAGAAUUGCCAUUGAUACUGAUGGUCUUGAGUACAUUUGAAGUGGGCGGAAUGUGUCAUGUAGCGGUGAAAUGCUUAGAUAUGACACAGAACACCGAUUGCGAAGGCAGCUCACUAAGCUGUAACUGACGCUGAUGCACGAAAGCGCGGGGAGCAAACAGG